rnacentral:lncRNA from 1 species
CUGAGAGGUGCCCCUCGGACCUCAGAGAGUGGUGACACACUGGAACAGGUUGCCCAAGGAGGUUGUGGAUGUCCCAUCCCUGGAGGCAUUCAAGGCCAGGCUGGAUGUGGCUCUGAGCAGCCUGGUCUGGUGGUUGGUGACCCUGCGCAUAGCAGGGGAGUUGAAACUCGAUGAUCAUUAUGGUCCUUUUUAACCCAGGGCAUUCUAUGGUUCUGUGAUUUUAUGACACAGCAGGUGUGGGAGGAGAUGUGUGGCUCUUCCUAUAUGCAUGGAGAUGAGCUUCCUCCCAUGUGUGUGUUUUUAAUGAGGGAGCCUGAAUAAGUGAGGGAACCCAAAUUCUGCCCCUUUUAGACUGUGUGGGCUGGCUGAGCAAGUUGAGGUCAAUAAAUGAGCAGGAAAUAGCUGAAGAAAAGAUUUUGCUCAUUGAAUUCUGUCGCAUUACAAGCAUUUUUAUUUUACGAUCUCUUUUAUUGCCUUUGGAUGUAUGGCAAGUACGUAUCUCCCAAGGACUCGGCCGCCGUGCUCACAGCGGGCUCUGCAGCCACCGAGGGGAGGUGCCCCUGGCAGAGCCUGCAGCUUUCAACUGGCGGCAACCCCAAGCAGUCAUGGGAGCCACGGUAUGAGUAUGUCCAUACAAAACAAUCCAUGCUCUAGGUGCAACCCAUACUGUGGCCUUCACUCUUCCAAAGGAUAGGUUGCAAGGAUUUUUCAUCUUCUUCCCCUGUUGUACAAUUUCCCUGAUGAAAGACUCCUUGGGGAGUUAGGAAGGAUGUGAAGGAUGGCGGGUCGCUCCAGGCUGCCAUCACACAGCCACAGGGAACUGUUUGUCAUGACUUCAGUUAUUUGGUAUCAGUUCCUCUUUAUACAAGGAUAUUGUGAAGCAAGGUCGCUGUUCUUCAUGCACAAAGCCCAUUUACAUUACAGAAAUACAAAAAUCCUUGGGUGAAGAAGAGUGCAUCACUUGCUAGCAAUGCACUUCAGCAGAACAAAUGAAGUUUUAUUCUUAGCACUAAAUCAGCAAUAGGCCUUCAGGAAUCAAAACAUAUAAAACCUGGAUAUAUCUUAAGAGAUUCCCUGUGUAUAUGAAAUUUUUCUGUUUUCUAUUUUUUUUUUUUUUAAGAUUUUUAAAUCUAGAUUAGAUAUCAUUGUGACAGGAAAGUUUUGUGCUUUCAGCUUUUAUUGGCUCAUGCUCGAAAUGCAUGGUUCACAAAACUGAAUAGGCUUGAACAAGUAGUGAGAAUUCCCAUGUUGGCAAAGCUGAGUCUAAAAGCCACAAGCUCAUUCUACAUGACUGAUAUGAAUGAAAACAUAAUUCUGAUUGAAUUAUGCCUUUGUUUUUAUAUACAUCAGGAAGUUCACACCUACUGUCAUUCAUACCAUCCAUAAGCUAUUUGUGAUUGUAAGCCAAUCGUUCUGCUGCGUUGUGUGCUGUACAUAAGCUGACCCUGCCUGUAAAUAAUCCUCCAUAUGUAGAAAACCUUCUUAUGAAGAAAUAUUGCCUGAAGAUGUGAGUGAAAUCUCAGACUUGUGGAAAUCAGCAGCAACAGCUCCUUCAGUUCUGUGGAAACCCAGAUAUCACCCUCUCCAGCCUGUUUUUUCACAGAUAAUGGCUAUGGUUGGAUUGGAGAGUUGCUGGUGGGGCUGUGCUGAGCUGAGUGUCACCUCUUCUCUUUUGGUCCACUUUGUGUUGUACCAGAGUGUUUGAUUUGUAGUUUCUUUGAUGUAGAGCUGAGCAUUCGGGAUAUUUUGGCUUUGUGAGAGGCUUCUAUUUUUUCAAUAAAAGUCAGACUAAUUUUAAA